CUAGGUUGAGUUGAAUUGAAUUGAAUCAUGGAUAAGAGCAUGUUAGCUGGUUUGGAAUCACUUCCAGAAGCUUAUCAGCAAAGAAUGGCAUCCAUGAUGGAACAAGUUCAAAUCCGUGACAGUAUCCAAAAUGUUUGCCAAGAAGAAUGCUAUUGGAAAAGAACAGGUGGCAAAAUUAGUGGACGACAUGUAUAGAAAAAUGCAGAUAUCUGGUGCCACUGACCUUGCAUCAAAGGGACAGGGAGCCUCAGAUAGCAGUAAUGUGAAAAUUAAAGUGUGAUGAUCCACGAUGCCAUGUGUGGAAGCACAUAAAUUGUGUUAUUGUUCCAGAAAAACCUAUGGAAGGUGUCCUGCCAGUACCUGAUAAAUUUUAUUGUGAACUCUGCAGACUCAGCCGUGCAGACCCGUUUUGGGUUUCAAUGGGACACCCCUUGUUUCCCGUGAAGUUGAGCAUAACAAGUCACAACUCGUGUUGGCCAUUGUCUCUGAGGGAAGCAAGUCACACCACCCGUUUUUUUCAAUGAAAAAGAACUAACACUAGUAAUUUAUUUAUUUUACUUUCUCAUGAUCUAUCAUAUGUGGAUUGAGCACUAAUAAUAAAAAGUUAGGAAUGACUUUAACAUUUUGAAUUUUUAUUAGAAGAUAUUUA